rnacentral:rRNA from 1 species
AUAGCGUAUAUUAAAGUUGUUGCAGUUAAAAAGCUCGUAGUUGAACUUCAGGCUUGGUUGGUUGGUCCGCCUCACGGUGUGUACUGAUCGACCGAGCCUUACCUCUUGGUGAGCCAGCAUGCCGUUUAUUCGGUGUGUUGGGGAACCAGGAUUUUUACUUUGAAAAAAUUAGAGUGUUCAAAGCAGGCCUAUGCCCGAAUACAUUAGCAUGGAAUAAUAGAAUAGGACGUGCGGUUCUAUUUUGUUGGUUUCUAGGAUCGCCGUAAUGAUUAAUAGGGAUAGUUGGGGGCAUUAGUAUUCAGUUGCUAGAGGUGAAAUUCUUGGAUUUACUGAAGACUAACUACUG